rnacentral:rRNA from 1 species
GUAGUUAGCCGAGACUUAUUCCCGAGGUACCGUCCUUGUCUCUUCCCUCGGAAAAGAGGUUUACGACCCGAGGGCCUUCGUCCCUCACGCGGCGUUGCUGCAUCAGGCUUGCGCCCAUUGUGCAAUAUUCCUC